AGCACUCUCUGUCCUGCAUUCCUUUACAAGGCUGGGCCUUAUUGCAUAACAUGUUCAACAAACAGAUAAAGAUUCCUAGUUCACUAACCUGCAGAGAUAUGGAUACACCUGAAACUCUUUCAGAUAAUUUCCUGGCCCAGGUGAGUACAGUUUACUCCAUUCAGGAACAAAUAAUGAUUCAAGGGCAUAGUUACAGAUAUGCCUUGUAUUAUAUAUAUAUAUAUACAUAUAUAUAUAUAUAUAUAUAUGCUGAUCAGCCACAACAUUAAAACCUCUGACAGGUAAAGUGAAUAACAUUGAAUAUACCGUUACAAUGGCACCUGUCAAGGGGUGAGAUAUAAGAGGCAGAAAGUGAACAGUCAAUUCUUGAAUUUCAUGUGUUGGAAGCAGUAAAAUGGGCAAGUCAAAAGAUCUGAGUGACUUUGAUAAGGGUCAAAUAGUGAUAGCUAGACAACUGGGUUAUAGCAUCUCCAAAACAGUAAGUAAUUUGGGUUUUGUCAGUGCGAAGUGGUUAGUACAUAAAAAAAGUGGUGCAAGGAAGGACAACCAGUGAACAGGUGUCAGGUUCAUGGCCGCCCAAGACUUGUCGAUGCACUGGUCCGAUCACACAGAAGAUCUACUGUAGCUCAAAUUGAUGAAAAACCUAAUGCAGGCCAUGAUGGAAAUGUGUCAGAACACGCAGUGUGUAACGGCCUGCGCGUACUCUGGCUGAGUACCCCGUUAUAUUCAGCUUCCAAGGCUAUCUAUGACCAUCCAGUAUAGCCUUGUGUAAUUUAAGUAUGUGGUGUCACUAGGAACGCUCCAGUGUAUGGAGCUGUGUAACUGCAGACCAGUCAGAGUGCCCAUGAUGACCACUGUCCACAGCCAAAAAUGCCUUUAAUGGGGACGUGAGUGUCAGAACUGGACCAUGGAGCAAUGGAGAAGGAUGCCUGGUCUAGUGAAUCACAUUUUCUUUUAGAUCAGGUGGAUGGCUGGUGCGUGUGCGUUACUUACCUGGGGAAGAGAUGGCAGCAGGAAGCACUAUUAGAAGAAUACAGGCCAGCAGAGGCAGUGUUAUGCUCUCUGCAAUGUUCUGCUGGGAAACCUUGGCAUUCAUGUGGAUGUUACUUAUACACGUACAACUUACCUAGAGAUUAUUGCAGAAAACCCUUAAUGGCAAUGGUGUUUUCCUUGACGGCAGUGGACUAUUUUAGCAGGAUAAUGCACCCUGACACACUAUAAAAAUUGUUAGUUUAAGGAACAUUAUAAAAAGUGCAAGGUAUUGCCUUAGCCUCCAAAUUCCCCAGAUCUCAAUCCGAUUGAGCAUCUGUGGAAUGUGCUGGAUCAACAAGUCUGAAACUUAGAGGCCCCAUGUCGCACGAUAUGCUAUUAAUGUCUUGGUACCAGAUACAAAAGGACACAGUCAGAGUUAUUGUGGAGUCCAUAUAUCAAUACAUCACAGCUGUUUUGGCAGCACGAGGAGGUCUACACAAUAUUAAGCAGGUGUUUUUUUAUGUUGUGGCUGAUCACUGUAUAUGUAGUUUAUUUUUAUACUGGUUACCUUUUAAAAGAAUGUUGGUUUGCAAAAUGAAUAAGGAAUGCAUAUAUUGACUGUUUUCAUUUUAUAUAAAAAGAAAUUGUAUUCAUCCCAUUUGUCAGGUCCCUUGCCACCGUGCCGCUCGUGAUGACCUUGCUUACCUCAUCACAGUGAGCGGCGUCAUCUGGUCCCUGUCUCCAGACGGGCAUUGUGUCUGAGGCUGCACGCUCCAGAGCUGCUUCCUUAUAUGUGUGCUGCACCCGGUCAUGUGACCCGGCACACAGUGAUAUGUUAACACUAAUUGGAGAUUAGCCAAUCAGACACAUCCUGUGUGUAUAUAAACUAACCUCUCCCUUGCCUCAGUGCCCUAUUGUGGUCUUUGGUUUACCAUUGAGCGUUGCACUUGUUAUUUGGAUUUCCUGGUUACUGAUAUUUGGUUUUGUCUCUCGUUAUUCCAUCUCUCUGUUUCCCUUGACCUCGGCUCGUGUUUCGACUAUCCCUUUUUGCAUAACCCGACCAUUCUAAGGAUCGGUAUUGCAAUUUUCUCUACACUAUCCUGUCUAUGUGUUAGAGUUCCCUAGUAAACGUUACACCAUUGACUCCUGCAACAAUCUCCAGCACCUACAAGACAAAAAUAGUAAGAUGAAUAGAAAAGAUCAAAAUGAGUCAAGGCAAAUCAAUUGAAAUUCAGUCAAUUCUCAGCGUGAGUAAUAUCUGUGGUACAAAUACAAAGGACGAUAUGUGCUGCUUUCACAAUGAGAGAUAAUGGGAUACUAAUAGAUGAAUCCUGAAUCAAAUGACUAUUGGGUCUAAAUUGCCUAUAUAUGAAAAGAAAUAGGAAGCUGAAUGAAAACACUUUAUUCAAGAUGUAUGAAAUAGAAAUGAUUUAUAUAUUUGAAUAUAUAUAUAAUUUUUUUAACAUCCUAUAAUGGAAAAUCAACCUGAAAUGGGGCUGGGGCCACAAUGGACCCCUAUUUGACAAUUGUUCAGCGAGUGGAUAAUUUCAAGAAAUUCCCAGAUUAAUUGGUCGCCAUGUUCACCUGACUUUUCAGCUUACCAUUACUUCAUGUGGAGAUAUCUGAAUGAGUGGAUGUAUGUGAACAAACUGUGUGCGCACGAGCUUCUCAAGGAGAACAUACGUGCAGAAAUUUGAGCACUGAGCCUUAAACAUUAAUUAAUGUUAUGAACAAUGGAGUCAAAAGAGCCUGACAUUGCGAGGCGGAAAAUGGAGCUCAUUUAAAAGAUGCUAUCUUCUGUACCUAACUCUCUAUACCAUAAGCAUUCAUAUGUAUAUAAAAUUAUUGAAAUUGUUUCUUUAAUAAAAAAGUUAAUUAAAGAGACACUAUACUCACCAGAACAACUAUAGCUUAUUGUAUUUGUUCUGGUGAGUAGAAUCUUUCCCUUCAGGAUUUAUGCAGUAAACACUGUGUUUUCAGAGAAAAUGCAGUGUUUACAUUACAGCCUAGGGAUACCUCCACUCACCACUCUUCAGAAGGCUGCUAGAGGUGCUUCCUGGGGAAGAUAUAAACUUUCCUCAUAGAGAUGUAUUGAUUUAAUACAUGUCUAUGAGGAGAUGCUGACUUGCUAGGGCUGUGUUUGACUUGUGCUGGCUUUGUCCCUGAUCUGCCUCAGCCAAUCCAAUGCUUUCCUCUGGGAAAGCAUCGUGAUUUGCCAAUAGAAUUACUUGUGAUGAUGUGAGACAAGCCGGCAGAUCAGAGGCAGAGCCAGCAGCAGCAGACACGAAUACAAGUAUGAUUUUACUAUAAUUGAGGGGUGGCAAUGGCAGUCAGGGAGGUUAGAUGGUGUUUUUUAACACUAUAAGGUCAGGAAGACAUGUUUGUGUCCCUGACUCUAUAGUGUUCCUUCAAAUAAAAAGUUAAGACUCCUCAAUUCCUACUCUGAAUUUUGGCCCACCCUUUACAUAUAUAUAUAUAUAUAUAUAACAUUGAUUAUAUCGUUACAAUGGCACCUGUCAAGGGGUGAGAUAUAAGAAGCAGAAAGUGAACAGUCAGUUCUUGAAUUUCAUGUGUUGGAAGCAGGAAAAUGGGCAAGUGAAAAGAUCUGAGUGACUUUGAUAAGGGUCAAAUAGUGAUAGCUAGACAACUGGGUUAUAGCAUCUCCAAAACAGUAAGUCAUUUGGGUUUUGUCAGUACGAAGUGGUUAGUACAUAAAAAAAGUGGUGCAAGGAAGGAUAACCUUAUAAUUCAUUAAUAUAUAUAUAUAUUAUUUUUGUUUUUUUUGAUCAUUUAAAACUUAAAGGACAACUGACAUCACAUUCAUUCUUUUCAAUCUUCAAAGGUUUAUUACAUUUAAUGAAAUCUAAUGAUAUAUAUUUUUUUUUUCAUCUGGCCGAGCAAACAUGCUAGGCCAGACUCUACUGUAAUGUUAUUGUAUGAUACAUGUUUUGUAUGUGUGUGAGGCAGCUAGCAACAUAUGUGUUUAUGUAGAUAAUUAGAUAAGUAUGUCUACGUGAAUAAUUUAAUGUUUUUGUGGCUGAACGUGUGUUUUUCAAUCUCACCCACCCAGAUCUUUGCAGUAAGGUAGCCCUGGGCAACAUACCAAUGGUAUAGCAGUAAGGCCCAGAUUUGUCAGAUUAUAUGAAAUAUAAUACUCUAGCAUUUUGGCUCACACCAUGUACAGGUUUGCAUUUAUGCUCUUAUAAGUGACAUAAAACAAUAUUAGGCAUGACAAGCGCUCUUUAAUUGAUUGAUAAAUAAUGAAACAUUUUGAUUGUGGGAACGAGCAAAAUAGAGGCCAGCUAUUUUUUAGAGAUACAAUUUAUUAUUCCUUGUAUUAAUUCCUCUCAAAGGAAGCAAUUUCUUAACGUUAUCUCAGAAAGGAAAUGGUUCUCAGAAUCUUUGGCUUGCACGGAACACAGAGAGGAAAGCAUGUAAGAGAUUGCUCUUUCAGGUGCGGAAACCCUUGUGACACAUUUUGCUGUGGUUAAGUGAAAUUCGAGAAAAUCACUUACAAAACAGUGUUUCCUUCUCAGAGAAAUGGCGGGAAAGUGAUUUACACUCAUGUUUCCACUUAACAAAACUUACCAGGAAAGAUUUUACGCUGUUAAAGGACAACAGUCAUCUGCAAAGUAUUUCUAAUAUAUGGUAAUAAUCCUUACAUCAAGUUUUGAAAGUUUUUUAUUUAAUGAAGUAUAUGAUAGAAACCUUCAGCCAUGUACAUGCAUCUUGGGUCAGACAGUGUUGGAAAACUGACCGUCUCUGCUAUGGUUUUCACUGCUUCAUCCCUGCACAGCGCUGUGACAUACUCAGACCUGAUAGCUGUCAAACCCUUGUCUAAACUAAGUUGCAUGUAUAUGGCUGAAGGAUACUGGCAUAUACUAAAUGUAGGGAUGAGGUUUUAAAUAUACUUCACAAAAUAUCAAAAUAUAAAUAUUACAUUAAAGGACAACUGUCACAUCAAAACUAUUUUUUAAGCAUUGCAGGUGUGUCCCGAUUUAAGUCAUCAGUAAUGAUGACCCGGACUUCACAGGAGCCUGAUCAGAAUGACAGUGGACAAACCUGAUGAAAAUCUGUUCAAGGACUGAAACGUUGACAAAGCUUAUGGUAAAUAAAUACAAAUUAUUAUGAUUUAUUGGCCACUCAGUGUGCUUCAUCUGCUAAUAUACAUAUAUAUAUACAUAUAAUAUAUAUUAUUUUUCAAAUGGGCGUCUUCUUUAAAAAAAGAGACUAAAUAAGCCUUCUGUAAUGUAAACCAUAAAACAUGUAAAACCAGGAUACAAGCAAAGAAUGAUUAACAUGCCAACAUGUACAAGAGCAGCCUUGUACUCUAAAUGUUGUGUUUGGGUGGUACAAUCUGCAUCCAGGACUGUUAGGAACCUGACUCUUUCCCACCCACCCUCCCUGUGUUUCUUGGUACAGCGUUGCUGUUUUUCUGGUUUUUGUUUUCUCAUUGUCACAGCUCUGGCGGUGCUCCUGGCCAGCGAAAUGGAAAGUGAUGGGAAGCGAUGAGUCGGCUUGGGGAGUCGCAGCCUGCUGAGGGCUAAUGGCAGUCGGCAGGCUGAUACGAACUCUGGACAAGGAAGUGGAAUAUGUCUGUUGGGGGGAGUUACCCAACGGCUGACAGUUGGAUAGAAUGCUGGUCCGUUAAAAAGUUGUAAAGUUAAUAAAGCUGUG